rnacentral:lncRNA from 1 species
GAGGAAGAUGAGGGACCCAAGUGCCCAUGGAGGAAGAUGAGGAACCCAAGUGUCCGUAGAUGAUGAUGAAGGACCCAAGUGUCCAUAGAUGAUGAAGAUGAGGGACCCAAGUGUCUGUAGAUGAAGAUGAGGGACCCGAGUGUUUGUAGAUGAUGAUGAUGAUGGACCUAAGCGUCCAUAGAUGAUGAAGAUGAGGGACCCAAGUGUCCGUAGAUGAUGAAGAUGAGGGACUCAAGUGGCCAUGGAAGAAGAUGAGGGACCCAAGAGUCUGUAGAUGAUGAUGAGGAGGGACCAAAGAGUCCGUGGAGGAAGAGGAGGGACCCAAGUGCCCGUAGAUGACGAUGAAGGCCCCGAGUGCCCGUGGAGGAAGAUGAGGGACUGGGGAACCACGGGAGGAAGACGAGGGACCCAGGUGACCGUGGUGACACCGCCCCCCCCGCCCCCCGUCCUCUCGUCCCCAGCUCCACCGCCUGGUCUUCAGCCUCCGGCACAGCCAGGAGCCGCGGGACGACCUGGACAAGGAGCCGCCCCUGGACGGGGACGUCCAGCUGCAGAAUGUGGAGGUGGAGCCAAGCGGCCAAGGGGCGGAGCCGAGCAGCCAAGGGGCGGAGCCGAGCGGCCAGGGGGCGGAGCCAAGCGGGCAAGGGGCGGAGCCUGGCGGGGCGGGGGGCGUGGCCAAGUACGUGGCCCCGCCCCCCGAGGACCCGGUGUGGGGCCGGGUGGUCAACGUCAACGCGCUGAUCAUGACGGCCGUCGCCGUCUUCCUCUGGGGCUACUUCGCCUGAGAUGCCCCAAAAUCGCCCGGAUUGAGCCCGAAAACGCCCCGAAACGCCCCCCAAAAGCCUCUCCCGAAAAAAGCCGCUCCCAAAACGUCCCCAACGCCUCAAAAAAUGGCCCCGAAACGGCCCCGAAACCCCCCAAAAACGCGACGUCGAGAAACGUCAAAAAAAAAGAAUGACCCCAAAAUUCCCGUAAUUGGCCCCAAAGCGUCAGGAAUACCCCCCAAAAAAUCCCCCCAGAGCUACCGCGGAAAUUUAAAAAAAUGACCCAAAAUGCUGUUAUCGCCUCCAAAAUCCUCAAAAACGCCUUUUGGCCCCUAAAACGCCCUUGAAUUCUUCAAAUAAAGCAAAAACACCCGGAAACGCCGCCA